CUGUGCAAAGGUAGCAUAAUCAUUAGUUUUUUAAAUGAGAACUGGAAUGAAAGGUUGGAUAAGAAAAAUUCUGUCUUGAUUUUAAUAUUAUAAUUUUAUUUUUAAGUUAAAAAGCUUAAAUUUUUUAAAAAGACGAGAAGACCCUAUAGAGUUUAAUUUAAUUAUUUACAAUUAUAUAUUAGAUUUAAAUUUAUUUUAUAAAUAAUAAAAUUUUGUUGGGGUGAUAUAAAAAUUUAAAUAACUUUUUAUUUAUAAAAACAUAAAUUAAUGAUUAUUAGAUCCUAAUUUUUGGAUUAAAAGAAUAAAUUACCUUAGGGAUAACAGCGUAAUUUUUUUAAAAGUUCUUAUUGAAAAAAAAGUUUGCGACCUCGAUGUUGGAUUAAAGUUAAAUUUUGGUGUAGAAGCUAAAAGUUUAGGUCUGUUCGACCUUAAAAACU
rnacentral:rRNA from 1 species